UGCGUAGGCGGCCCUGUAAGUCAGUGCUGAAAUAUCCCAGCUUAACUGGGAGGGUGGCAUUGAUACUGCGGGGCUAGAGUACAGAUGAGGUAGGCGGAAUUGACGGUGUAGCGGUGAAAUGCUUAGAUAUCGUCAAGAACACCUAUAGCGAAGGCAGCUUACUAGGCUGUAACUGACGCUGAGGCACGAAAAGUGUGGGGAUCAAACA
rnacentral:rRNA from 1 species